CUACGGGUCGCAGCAGUGAGGAAUAUUGCACAAUGGGGGGAACCCUGAUGCAGCAACGCCGCGUGGAGGAUGACGCAUUUCGGUGUGUAAACUCCUUUUAUAUGUCAAGAAAAUGACGGUAGCAUAUGAAUAAGCACCGGCUAACUCCGUGCCAGCAGCCGCGGUAAUACGGAGGGUGCAAGCGUUACUCGGAAUCACUGGGCGUAAAGGACGCGUAGGGCGGUUGGAAAGUCAGGUGUGAAAUCCUACAGCUUAACUGUAGAACUGCACUUGAAACUUCUAAUCUAGAGUAUGGGAGGGGGAGAUGGAAUUAGUGGUGGAGGGGUAAAAUCCGUAGAUAUCACUAGGAAUACCUAAAGCGAAGGCGAUCUCCUGGAACAUUACUGACGCUAAGGCGUGAAAGCGUGGGGAGCAAACAGGAUUAGAUACCCCCGUAGUC
rnacentral:rRNA from 1 species